GUUAAAAUUUUAACGCAUAUUUGCACGUCGUGGGACCUACCAUGACGUACACAUACUUGAGCGCUU
rnacentral:rRNA from 1 species